GACGAACGCUGGCGGCGUGCCUAAUACAUGCAAGUCGAACGAACUCUGGUAUUGAUUGGUGCUUGCAUCAUGAUUUACAUUUGAGUGAGUGGCGAACUGGUGAGUAACACGUGGGAAACCUGCCCAGAAGCGGGGGAUAACACCUGGAAACAGAUGCUAAUACCGCAUAACAACUUGGACCGCAUGGUCCGAGUUUGAAAGAUGGCUUCGGCUAUCACUUUUGGAUGGUCCCGCGGCGUAUUAGCUAGAUGGUGGGGUAACGGCUCACCAUGGCAAUGAUACGUAGCCGACCUGAGAGGGUAAUCGGCCACAUUGGGACUGAGACACGGCCCAAACUCCUACGGGAGGCAGCAGUAGGGAAUCUUCCACAAUGGACGAAAGUCUGAUGGAGCAACGCCGCGUGAGUGAAGAAGGGUUUCGGCUCGUAAAACUCUGUUGUUAAAGAAGAACAUAUCUGAGAGUAACUGUUCAGGUAUUGACGGUAUUUAACCAGAAAGCCACGGCUAACUACGUGCCAGCAGCCGCGGUAAUACGUAGGUGGCAAGCGUUGUCCGGAUUUAUUGGGCGUAAAGCGAGCGCAGGCGGUUUUUUAAGUCUGAUGUGAAAGCCUUCGGCUCAACCGAAGAAGUGCAUCGGAAACUGGGAAACUUGAGUGCAGAAGAGGACAGUGGAACUCCAUGUGUAGCGGUGAAAUGCGUAGAUAUAUGGAAGACACCAGUGGCGAAGGCGGCUGUCUGGUCUGUAACUGACGCUGAGGCUCGAAAGUAUGGGUAGCAAACAGGAUUAGAUACCCUGGUAGUCCAUACCGUAAACGAUGAAUGCUAAGUGUUGGAGGGUUUCCGCCCUUCAGUGCUGCAGCUAACGCAUUAAGCAUUCCGCCUGGGGAGUACGGCCGCAAGGCUGAAACUCAAAGGAAUUGACGGGGGCCCGCACAAGCGGUGGAGCAUGUGGUUUAAUUCGAAGCUACGCGAAGAACCUUACCAGGUCUUGACAUACUAUGCAAAUCUAAGAGAUUAGACGUUCCCUUCGGGGACAUGGAUACAGGUGGUGCAUGGUUGUCGUCAGCUCGUGUCGUGAGAUGUUGGGUUAAGUCCCGCAACGAGCGCAACCCUUAUUAUCAGUUGCCAGCAUUAAGUUGGGCACUCUGGUGAGACUGCCGGUGACAAACCGGAGGAAGGUGGGGAUGACGUCAAAUCAUCAUGCCCCUUAUGACCUGGGCUACACACGUGCUACAAUGGAUGGUACAACGAGUUGCGAACUCGCGAGAGUAAGCUAAUCUCUUAAAGCCAUUCUCAGUUCGGAUUGUAGGCUGCAACUCGCCUACAUGAAGUCGGAAUCGCUAGUAAUCGCGGAUCAGCAUGCCGCGGUGAAUACGUUCCCGGGCCUUGUACACACCGCCCGUCACACCAUGAGAGUUUGUAACACCCAAAGUCGGUGGGGUAACCUUUUAGGAACCAGCCGCCUAAGGUGGGACAGAUGAUUAGGGUG
rnacentral:rRNA from 1 species